rnacentral:rRNA from 1 species
CGGACGGGUGAGUAACGCGUGGGUAACCUGCCUUGUACAGGGGAUAACAGUUGGAAACGGCUGCUAGUACCGCAUAAGCGCGCGGCAUCGCAUGAUGCAGUGUGAAAAACUCCGGUGGUAUAAGAUGGACCCGCGUUGGAUUAGCUAGUUGGUGAGGUAACGGCCCACCAAGGCGACGAUCCAUAGCCGACCUGAGAGGGUGACCGGCCACAUUGGGACUGAGACACGGCCCAA